AAACUUUCAACAACGGAUCUCUUGGUUCUGGCAUCGAUGAAGAACGCAGCGAAAUGCGAUAAGUAAUGUGAAUUGCAGAAUUCAGUGAAUCAUCGAAUCUUUGAACGCACAUUGCGCCCGCCAGAAUUCUGGCGGGCAUGCCUGUCCGAGCGUCAUAU
rnacentral:rRNA from 1 species